rnacentral:rRNA from 1 species
UACGGAGGGUGCGAGCGUUGUUCGGAAUCACUGGGCGUAAAGGGCGUGUAGGCGGUCCGCUAAGUCUGAUGUGAAAGCCCGGGGCUCACCCCCGGAAGGGCAUUGGAAACUGACGGACUCGAGUCCCGAAGAGGAGGGUGGAAUUCCUGGUGUAGCGGUGAAAUGCGUAGAUAUCAGGAGGAACACCGGUGGCGAAGGCGGCCCUCUGGACGGUGACUGACGCUGAGACGCGAAAGCCAGGGGAGCAAACGGG